CGAAAGCUGUGCAUACAUACUCGAAGAGUAUCUGUUAUGUAUACAGUGGAAGCAGAGGAAUAAACAGACUUUACAUAACAUUAAACAUCUAACACAUCAUUGUGUUCGGGAAAGUCGACAUUUCACAUUGGCACUCAAUAUUGAAGAUAAGUUGUUCAUGUAGAAAAUGUGUGAACAAACAUGGACUGUAAUACAGUUUGAACAAGAUUGUUCUGUGGAAGCGGUACCCUCAACAUGGAUUCAAGGGCAGUUUUGCUAUUGGCCUACAUACUCAAGAGACAAAAUAACGAGUGCAAUAAGGAAGCAUGAAUCUUUAAAUACAUGUUGGCCUAGCUACAAAAUAAGAAACUUCA